AGGUUGCAGUUACUUUUUUUUGUCGUACCUUUUGCAUAAUGAGGCAGCAAGCUAAUUUUUAUAGUGAGCUUAAAAUGAUUGUAGGCAUAGUGAAAGCAAAAAAUAACUACUUGAUUAAAAUUAUAAAAAUUAAGCCCGAAACCAAGUGAUCUCAGUGUGGGCAGAAGUUUAAUCGUUCGAACUUAAGUACGUUGUAAAGUACUAAGAUGACCUGCAUUUAGGGGUGAAAGGCUAAUCAAACUUGGAUAUAUCUGGUUUUCUACGAAAAUUGUUUAAGCAGUACGUUAUAUUAAAUAGAGUUAAGGGUUAGAGCACUUUAAAGUUGAUGGGGCUUAAUUGACUUACUAAUACUUAUAAAACUUAGAAUACUUAUUUAUAUAACAGUCAGAUAUAUGGUGAAAAGAUCUUAUAUCAAAAGGGACACAGCCCAGAUUAAAAACUAAGGUGAUUGAAUGUAAGUAAGUGAAAAAAAUAAUAAUUUACAAAAACUAUUAAUAGGUAGGCUUGGAAGCAGCCACCCUUUGAAGAAAGCGUAACAACUCAUUAAAUUUAUGUAAAUUUAUUAUUUAUAAUUAAGGACACUAACCUACUUAACCGAAUUUUUAAAUUAGUUAAACUAACUAAAGGUAGUAGAAUAUUUUGUUUUGGA
rnacentral:rRNA from 1 species